GCAUGGUCUGUGUUUGGAAAGAUUUUUUGGUUAUGGAUCGGCUCACGGCCUAUCAGCUUGUUGGUGAGGUAAUGGCUCACCAAGGCGACGACGGGUAGCCGGCCUGAGAGGGUGACCGGCCACACUGGGACUGAGACACGGCCCAGACUCCUACGGGAGGCAGCAGUGGGGAAUAUUGCACAAUGGGCGAAAGCCUGAUGCAGCAACGCCGCGUGAGGGAUGACGGCCUUCGGGUUGUAAACCUCUUUUAGUAGGGAAGAAGCGAGAGUGACGGUACCUGCAGAAAAAGCACCGGCUAACUACGUGCCAGCAGCCGCGGUAAUACGUAGGGUGCAAGCGUUGUCCGGAAUUAUUGGGCGUAAAGAGCUCGUAGGCGGUUUGUCGCGUCUGCUGUGAAAUCCCGAGGCUCAACCUCGGGUCUGCAGUGGGUACGGGCAGACUAGAGUGUGGUAGGGGAGAUUGGAAUUCCUGGUGUAGCGGUGGAAUGCGCAGAUAUCAGGAGGAACACCGAUGGCGAAGGCAGAUCUCUGGGCCAUUACUGACGCUGAGGAGCGAAAGCAUGGGGAGCGAACAGGAUUAGAUACCCUGGUAGUCCAUGCCGUAAACGUUGGGCGCUAGAUGUGGGGACCAUUCCACGGUUUCCGUGUCGUAGCU
rnacentral:rRNA from 1 species